rnacentral:rRNA from 1 species
GACGAACACUGGCGGCGUGCCUAAUACAUGCAAGUAGGACGCAGUUGCGAACGGGUGAGUAACGCGUAGGUAACUACCUAUUAGAGGGGGAUAACUAUUGGAAACGAUACCUAAUACCGCAUACUAGUAGAUGGACCUGCGUUGUAUUAGCUAGUAGGUAGGGUAAUGGCCUACCUAGGCAACGAUACAUAGCCGACCUGAGAGGGUGAUCCGCCAAACUGGGAGUGAGACACGGCUCAGCCUCCCACGGGAGGCAGGAGUAGGGAAAUUUCGGACAUUGGGGGAACGCUGAUCGAGCAACGCCGCGGGAGUGAAGAAGGGUUUCGGAUCGUAAAGCUCCGUUGUUAAGGAAGCGGUACUUAACCAGAAAGGGACGGCUAACUACGUGCCAGCAGCCGCGGUAAUUC